UACGUAGGUGGCAAGCGUUGUCCGGAUUUAUUGGGUUUAAAGGGUGCGUAGGCGGUCUUUUAAGUCAGUGCUGAAAUAUCCCGGCUUAACCGGGAGGGUGGCAUUGAUACUGAAGGACUUGAGUUCAGUCGAGGUAGGCGGAAUUGACGGUGUAGCGGUGAAAUGCUUAGAUAUCGUCAAGAACACCGAUAGUGUAGACAGCUUACUAGGCUGAAACUGACGCUGAGGCACGAAAGUGUGGGGAUCAAACAGG
rnacentral:rRNA from 2 species